GUAGACCCAGAACCUCAUGAGUUAAAACCACCUGUGAACUUAUUUUUCCAAGUGUUUAAGACCUAGCCAUAAAGGAGUCCUUUCUUUUGUCUUGGAAAUACUUAUAUGUCCUUUUAUUUUAACUGCUGUCUUAGGAGGACUAUUCUGUUACGCAAUCUGACUAUAACACUUGAGUAUUUUUUUCCCCAGGAUUACCAUCGACCUUCUGUUGAAGAAAUUCUUGAGAACCCUUUAAUAGCAGAUUUGGUUGCAGACGAGCAAAGAAGAAAUCUUGAGAGAAGAGGGCGACAAUUAGGAGAGCCAGAAAAAUCGCAGGAUUCCAGCCCUGUAUCGAGUGAGCUGAAACUAAAGGAAAUUCAGUUACAGGAGCGAGAGCGAGCUCUCAAAGCAAGAGAAGAAAGAUUGGAGCAGAAAGAACAGGAGCUUUGUGUUCGUGAGAGACUAGCAGAGGACAAACUGGCUAGAGCAGAAAAUCUGUUGAAGAACUACAGCUUGCUAAAGGAACGGAAGUUCCUGUCUCUGGCAAGUAGUCCAGAACUUCUUAAUCUUCCAUCCUCAGUAAUUAAGAAGAAAGUUCAUUUCAGUGGGGAAAGUAAAGAGAACAUCAUGAGGAGUGAGAAAUCUGAGAGUCAGCUCACAUCUAAGUCCAAGUGCAAGGACCUG
rnacentral:sRNA from 1 species